GAUGAACGCUGACAGAAUGCUUAACACAUGCAAGUCAACUGUGGCGGACGGGUGAGUAACGCGUAAAGAACUUGACUCACAGUUAGGGACAACAUUUGGAAACGAAUGCUAAUACCUGAUACUGUGAGAGAGCUUUGCGUCCCAUUAGCUAGUUGGAGAGGUAACGGCUCACCAAGGCGAUGAUGGGUAGCCGGCAUGAGAGGGUGAUCGGCCACAAGGGGACUGGGACGCGGCCCUUGGGCCUACGGGAGGAAGCAGUGGGGAAUAUUGGACAAUGGACCAAAGUCUGAUCCAGCAAUUCUGUGUGCACGAUGAAGUUUUCGGAAUGUAAAGGGCUUUCAGUUGAGAAGCGGUACCAACAGAAGAAGCGACGGCUAAAUACGUGCCAGCAGCCGCGGUAAUUC
rnacentral:rRNA from 1 species